rnacentral:rRNA from 1 species
GACGAACGCUGGCGGCGUGCUUAACACAUGCAAGUCGAACGGUAAGGCCCUUCGGGGUACACGAGUGGCGAACGGGUGAGUAACACGUGGGUGAUCUGACCUGCACUUCGGGAUAAGCCUGGGAAAAUGGGUCUACUACCGGAUAGGCCCAUGCGCUGCACGGUGUGUGGGGGUGAGCUUUUGCGGUGUGGGAUGGGCCCGCGGCCUAUCAGCUUGUUGGGGGGGUAAUGGCCUACCAAGGCGACGACGGGUAGCCGGCCUGAGAGGGCGACCGGCCACACUGGGACUGAGAUACGGCCCAGACUCCUACGGGAGGCAGCAGGGGGGAAUAUUGCACAAUGGGCGCAAGCCUGAUGCAGCGACGCCGCGUGAGGGAUGACGGCCUUCGGGUUGUAAACCUCUUUCAGUAGGGACGAAGCGCAAGUGACGGUACCUACAGAAGAAGGACCGGCCAACUACGUGCCAGCCGCCGCCGUAA